GACGAGCGCUGGCGGCGUGCUUAACACAUGCAAGUCGAACGGAAAGGCCCUGCUUUUGUGGGGCGCUCGAGUGGCGAACGGGUGAGUAACACGUGAGUAACCUGCCCUUGACUUUGGGAUAACUUCAGGAAACUGGGGCUAAUACCGGAUAGGAGCUCCUGCUGCAUGGUGGGGGUUGGAAAGUUUCGGCGGUUGGGGAUGGACUCGCGGCUUAUCAGCUUGUUGGUGGGGUAGUGGCUUACCAAGGCUUUGACGGGUAGCCGGCCUGAGAGGGUGACCGGCCACAUUGGGACUGAGAUACGGCCCAGACUCCUACGGGAGGCAGCAGUGGGGAAUAUUGCACAAUGGGCGGAAGCCUGAUGCAGCAACGCCGCGUGCGGGAUGACGGCCUUCGGGUUGUAAACCGCUUUCGCCUGUGACGAAGCGUGAGUGACGGUAAUGGGUAAAGAAGCACCGGCUAACUACGUG
rnacentral:rRNA from 1 species